rnacentral:lncRNA from 1 species
ACAGAUAACACAUAAUCCAGAUGGCUCCUUACGUGUUAAAAAUUGUCACCCCAAUUUCACUCCAAUUUGGAAAAAUAUUGGAGUGACGUUUGAAUAAUCUGAAAUUUUUAGAUUCCUUUUCUAACUUUUUUGGGAGGUUUUGCUUCUCUUGCACAGAUGUCGCUUGCACUUCAGUUGCGUGGUUGCCAAACGUUAUAUCGAAAUAUAUUUCAUUUCAUUAUGAAUAUAUAAAAUUAAAAAUUAUGUAAUUUAUAAACAUGAAAUAGAUAUGGAUGUUAGGUAAUACCGGAUGUUAAAUUAAUAUAUAAAUAUUUAACUUAAUACGUACAUUAUUUUAUUAAUUUAUCGUCACACGUCAUUUACCAGUUGCCUAAUUACGAAAAGUUUCAUAUGAUAUUAACCUCAAAAAUGAUCUUUGAAAACAAACAACAACAAAUAACUCAAAGAAAUAACUACAUACUACAUAAUAAUAACUGAUAAUAAUGACUUUUAAUGGUAUAAAGGCUGAUGAAGUUUUAGACAACCAAUACAAGAUUCAGAACUCGGCAUCGCGAUAAACAAGUAAAAUUGUACAUUCAGGAACUCGUUUAAAUAUUAUAGGUUGAUUGAAGAAUAAUCUACAAUUGAUUAGAGCCUAUGACGAUGCGAAGAUAAUUAAUCACCUAACUUUAAGAAACCAGCCUAAAGAAGUUUACAUGCAUCUCAUCUAACCAUUAUAGAUCAGUAGUGAUUUUUCAUAAUUUGAAUGAACUCACAGAUAGCAAUGGGGCACCGCACCGAAGCAGUAUUACAAAAUGUGAAAUAAAACUGUAGUACAUAUUGCUCUAUAAAAUUUAAUAGAAAUAAAUUUAUUUAUGAAAAUUAAUGAAGUUUUAUCUUUCCUAGGAAAAAAAUAACAAUUAUAUUUUGAACAAUUAAUU